GCGUCGUUUGUGCAAUUGGUUGAGCACGCGCCCUCCGGAAAGGGUGAGAUGCGGAUUCGAGUCCCGCACGACGUC